CUGCGAAUGGCUCAUUAUAUAAGUUAUCGUUUAUUUGAUAGUAUCUUGCUACUUGGAUAACCGUGGUAAUUCUAGAGCUAAUACAUGCUAAAAAUCCCGACUUCGGAAGGGAUGUAUUUAUUAGAUUAAAAACCAAUGCCCUCUGGGCUCUCUUGGUGAAUCAUGAUAACUUCUCGAAUCGCAGGGCCUUGCGCCGGCGAUGGUUCAUUCAAAUUUCUUCCCUAUCAACUUUCGAUGUUUGGGUAGUGGCCAAACAUGGUUGCAACGGGUAACGGAGGGUUAGGGCUCGACCCCGGAGAAGGAGCCUGAGAAACGGCUACUACAUCCAAGGAAGGCAGCAGGCGCGCAAAUUACCCAAUCCCGAUCCGGGGAGGUAGUGACAAUAAAUACUGAUACAGGGCUCUUUUGGGUCUUGUAAUUGGAAUGAGUACAAUUUAAAUCCCUUAACGAGGAACAAUUGGAGGGCAAGUCUGGUGCCAGCAGCCGCGGUAAUUCCAGCUCCAAUAGCGUAUAUUAAAGUUGUUGUGGUUAAAAAGCUCGUAGUUGAACCUUGGGCCUGGCUGGCCGGUCCGCCUCACCGCGUGCACUGGUCCGGCCGGGCCUUUCCCUCUGUGGAACCCCAUGCCCUUCACUGGGUGUGGCGGGGAAACAGGACUUUUACUUUGAAAAAAUUAGAGUGCUCCAGGCAGGCCUAUGCUCGAAUACAUUAGCAUGGAAUAAUGAAAUAGGACGUGCGGUUCUAUUUUGUUGGUUUCUAGGACCGCCGUAAUGAUUAAUAGGGACAGUCGGGGGCAUCAGUAUUCAAUUGUCAGAGGUGAAAUUCUUGGAUUUAUUGAAGACUAACUACUGCGAAAGCAUUUGCCAAGGAUGUUUUCAUUAAUCAGGAACGAAAGUUAGGGGAUCGAAGACGAUCAGAUACCGUCGUAGUCUUAACCAUAAACUAUGCCGACUAGGGAUCGGACGAUGUUAUUUUUUGACUCGUUCGGCACCUUACGAGAAAUCAAAGUGCUUGGGCUCCAGGGGGAGUAUGGUCGCAAGGCUGAAACUUAAAGAAAUUGACGGAAGGGCACCACCAGGGGUAAACCUGACCUGUGAAGCCGCAGUCAACUCUGCUCCAGAAAGCCGCCCGAAAGGGUCGGUGGUGUUCCUAGGGGAGAGCUCUCCCCUAAACUAAUGGCUAGUCCUGCCGCCCGCGGCAGGGCGACACCCUCAAACUGACGGGGAACUCCUAAAGCCCUCGCUCCGGACAGGCGUCGGGAAACCGACGGCCUGCUCACCAGGCUAACGACCUCGGGUAUCGGAAGCAACGCGAGAGGAUGCUACAAUGGACAAUCCGCAGCCAAGCCCCUACGGUGCGGCCUCUACGGGGGUCGCAUACGGGGAAGGUUCAGAGACUUGACGGGGGUGGGUGGCGCGGGCUCUUGGGGUGCAAGCCGCGUGCUUGCUUGCAGGCCCAGGCGCCCGCCGCUGCCUAAGAUAAAGUCCGGGCGUGCGCGAAAGCGUGCGCGGCAACCACGCAACCCGCCGUUUCCAGCGGGUGCGAGGCCCCAGAAGUAAAAACAACCGGGAGCCUGCGGCUUAAUUUGACUCAACACGGGGAAACUCACCAGGUCCAGACACAAUGAGGAUUGACAGAUUGAGAGCUCUUUCUUGAUUUUGUGGGUGGUGGUGCAUGGCCGUUCUUAGUUGGUGGAGUGAUUUGUCUGCUUAAUUGCGAUAACGAACGAGACCUUAACCUGCUAAAUAGCCCGUAUUGCUUUGGCAGUACGCCGGCUCUUAGA
rnacentral:rRNA from 1 species